rnacentral:misc_RNA from 1 species
AAGUCGUAACAAGGUUUCCGUAGGUGAACCUGCGGAAGGAUCAUUAACACGUAUCCACGUAUCUACCUCUUGCGAACUUGUUUUGUUUUGUAGUCGUGCUCAGGUAUUUUAUCAAGGAAGUAGAUGGCCAUGUCAGGAGAAAAAAUUCAUUUUUUUUUCUUGUUCUACUUGCCUUCCACCCAAUGUUUUGAGUGCUGGUGUAUUGAGAUCCUGUGAUGCCUUUUGUGGGCGUCCACAGUUUCCUACUAGCAGAACGCUCCUUGGGAUGGGUAUCUGGCGUGACUCGAAUCAUGGUGGUUAUUCACUAUUAACCCCUUUUUUUUAAAAUUUUUGUCUCAGUGUGAGUGGGUGGUGCCGCUUUGCGGUGCGCCCUCCUCAUCAAAAAAAAAUAACAAAGAUACAACUCUUAGCAACGGAUAUCUAGGUUCU